GUCUUUCCGUCUGUAGCGCACACAGGCUGCAGGGGGAACGGUUGGCUACAGGGACAGGAGUUCUCCUCGACGAAGGUAUACCCUGACAGGAAAAAUACUCACAUCGCUCCAUGGCGGUGUUUGUGGUACAAAUAAACAGAACCACGACCUGGCAGAGGCUAGGGUUGUCAACCGAGAUACGGACACGUUGUUACCCUACCAAUGGUAGACAAAGUCGGGUUUGGAUAGAGUGUUGACUGACGACUGACGGGAGAUGAUUAUCCCUGGCCAGUCGGCACAAUUAUGCCGGCCUGUUUGA